rnacentral:rRNA from 1 species
UACAUGCCACCCCUCUUGCUUAAACCCAAGGGGGGCCAGUCCCCUGACCCAGGGCUUGCCCUGGUGUUCAGGUCUGGCGGGGUAGGCUCCGGCCUGCCUGGUUAAUUAUAACAAACCUUUAACACACACCAAACCUCAAACCAAACUGAAGCUUUUGGAAGGGAGGCUUUCAGCCCCCAUCCACGAACCAAAGACAACUCUCAACAACGGAUAUCUUGGCUCCCGUAUCGAUGAACAACGCAGCGAAAUGCGAUACGUAGUGGGAAUUGCCCAAUUCCGUGGACCAUCAAAUCUUUGAACGCCAAUUGCCCCGGGGCCUCGGCUAAGGGCAUGUCUGCCUCAGCGUCGGCUUCACCCCUCGCUCCCUUCUACUGGGAGCGGAUCUGGAGUCUCAUCGCCCUUUAUUGGGCUGACUGGGUCUGCUGAAAGCAGAGGUUUGAGCAUGGACCCCGUUUGCAUGGCAAUAGCUUGGUAGGUAGGCGUCAGCCUGCAUUUUCCUGCUGUUGCCUGAAGGGACUUUGCUGGGAGCCUAACAGGAAUUGGGUUUGGCUUAGGCCUUAACAACUCUCUUUUUCAACCUGAGCUCAGGCAAGAUUACCCGCUGAACUUAACAUAUCAUAACCGGAGGAA